rnacentral:rRNA from 1 species
UACGGGGGGGGUAAGCGUUGUUCGGAAUUACUGGGCGUAAAGGGCUCGUAGGCGGCCAACUAAGUCAGACGUGAAAUCCCAUGGCUCAACCAUGGAAGUGCACUCGAAACUGCAGAGCUAGAGUCCUGGAGAGGAAGGUGGAAUGCUUGGUGUAGAGGUGAAAUUCGUAGAUAUCAAGCGGAACACCGGUGGCGAAGGCGGCCUUCUGGACAGUGACUGACGCUGAGACGCGAAAGCGUGGGGAGCAAACAGG